rnacentral:rRNA from 1 species
GGCCAGACUCCUACGGGAGGCAGCAGUGGGGAAUAUUGCACAAUGGGGGAAACCCUGAUGCAGCGACGCCGCGUGAGCGAUGAAGUAUUUCGGUAUGUAAAGCUCUCUCAGCAGGGAAGAAAAUGACGGUACCUGACUAAGAAGCCCCGGCUAACUACGUGCCAGCAGCCGCGGUAAUACGUAGGGGGCAAGCGUUAUCCGGAUUUACUGGGUGUAAAGGGGGCGCAGACGGCGAUGCAAGCCAGGAGUGAAAGCCCGGGGCCCAACCCCGGGACUGCUCUUGGAACUGCGUGGCUGGAGUGCAGGAGGGGCAGGCGGAAUUCCUGGUGUAGCGGUGAAAUGCGUAGAUAUCAGGAGGAACACCGGUGGCGAAGGCGGCCUGCUGGACUGCAACUGACGUUGAGGCCCGAAAGCGUGGGGAGCAAACAGGAUUAGAUACCCUCGUAU